rnacentral:rRNA from 1 species
GACGAACGCUGGCGGCGUGCUUAACACAUGCAAGUCGAACGGAAAGGCCCUGCUUUUGUGGGGUGCUCGAGUGGCGAACGGGUGAGUAACACGUGAGUAGCCUGCCCUUGACUUUGGGAUAACUUCAGGAAACUGGGGCUAAUACCGGAUAGGAGCUCCUGCUGCAUGGUGGGGGUUGGAAAGUUUCGGCGGUUGGGGAUGGACUCGCGGCUUAUCAGCUUGUUGGUGGGGUAGUGGCUUACCAAGGCUUUGACGGGUAGCCGGCCUGAGAGGGUGAACGGCCACAUUGGGACUGAGAUACGGCCCCGACUCCUAAGGGAGGCAGCAGUGGGGAAUAUUGCACAAUGGGCGGAAGCCUGAUGCAGCAACGCCGCGUGCGGGAUGACGGCCUUCGGGUUGUAAACCGCUUUCGCCUGUGACGAAGCGUGAGUGACGGUAAUGGGUAAAGAAGCACCGGCUAACUACGUG